rnacentral:miRNA from 2 species
CUGACAGAAGAGAGAGAGCACAGUUGUCCAGACCCCCGUCGUGGGCGAACAUCUUGCCGUUGCUGUGCCGGCUGCUGCUGCUGCUCCUGCUCUCCG